rnacentral:rRNA from 1 species
UACGUAGGGGGCAAGCGUUGUCCGGAAUCAUUGGGCGUAAAGCGCACGUAGGCGGAUUCGUAAGUUAGGGGUGAAAUCCCGGGGCUCAACCUCGGAACUGCCUUUGAUACUGCGGAUCUCGAGUCCGAUAGAGGUGGGUGGAAUUCCUAGUGUAGAGGUGAAAUUCGUAGAUAUUAGGAAGAACACCGGUGGCGAAGGCGGCCCACUGGAUCGGUACUGACGCUGAGGUGCGAAAGCGUGGGGAGCAAACAGG